GGUCUGUUUCUCUUUCGUUUCCUCAUCCUCUUGUUUGCUUUUCCUCACCCACCAAGGAGAAUGGCCCAGCAGCAGCUCAGCCCAUGCUUCUUAACCACUCACUCCCAUACAGUCUUGUCCCGUGUCCAUAUCAACAGUGAUCACACAGUAAUUCCCGAGUAGGACCAACAAUGGACUGACACUUACUCUGUGUCCUUUUAGAGUGUACCAAGCGUGUGGUGGAGGACCUUGGCAAGAAAGCACUGUGGCCCAACACAUCCAGGGUGGCCCCAGCACCAUGGGGAAGUGGCUUGUGUCCAUAUCAAGCAACAUUCCAUGAAUAUUCUUGAGCAACAAGAGGAAUGUGCUGACGGGUACUCUGUGUCCUAGAUGCCUUGGAGGAAGACGUCGAUCCCAUCGAAGGAGACAGCGCCGGAGACACACCUCUCGCCACGGUGACCCCAGUACCCAGUGAGAGUGAUGUGACUGAUGAUGGCACUGUCUGGUCAUGGCUUUUUCAGAGUGUUACAGAGGAGGAGGGCCUGCCUCUUGCCAAGGUGAGCUCGCCUGUCUAUCC